GAGCCCUGGGGGAGCCCAGCACCAGCUGGGGAGCCUCAGGACAGUGAGCUCUGGGAGGAACCUUGACCAUGGCCUGGAUCUCUCUGCUCUUCUCAUUCCUGACUGUCUACACAGGUUCUGGGGCCUCCUAUGUGCUGACUCAGCCACCUUCAGUGUCCAAAAAUCUGGGAGAGACGGCCUCCAUCUCCUGUGCUGGAGAUAGGGCUAAUAGUAAUAGUGUACAGUGGUACCAGCAGAAACCUGGCCAGGCCCCUAAGCUGGUGAUUUAUAGCACUAGCAGCAGGCCCUCGGGGAUCCCUGCCCGAUUCUCUGGCUCCAAGUCAGGGAACACGGCCACCCUGAGCAUCUCUGGGCUUCAGGCUGAGGAUGAGGCUGAUUAUUACUGUCAGCAGUGGGAUAGUAAUGCUGAUGCUCACAGUGACACAGACUGAUGGGGAAGUGAGACA